UUAGGAAGUCUUGCAGGCAUUAGGAUAGAGUAAAGUGAACAAAGUUGUCCAUAUCCAGAGGAUAUGCAAGACAAUUGCAUGAGAUCCAUCUCAGCAACUUACUUCAAAGGACCAACAGAGCUGUUCUGAAGUGCCGCAGCAAGCAUAUGGUGCGUGUGCUGUUUCCAUCAUUAACCACACAGGAGGCAGGGAAUGGAGUGCCUGCUUGGAAACAUUGCAGGAAUGGGAUUUCUGUUACUUGAAGUGCAGGAGUUCAUGACUCAGACUGUGAAUAUGCCUCCUUGCCAAUUACCUAUCUGCACAUCUAUUUGUUCAGAAGACUACAGCUCUCCUCAUUGGAACCAAGGAUGAAUUCAGAGAAAGAUGUGGGCACAUCCCUAGAACUCCGCAAUCCUUGCAUGUAAAUAAAUAAUUUCAGCUGUAGAGCA
rnacentral:lncRNA from 1 species